rnacentral:rRNA from 1 species
CCUACGGGAGGCUGCAGUGAGGAAUAUUGGUCAAUGGACGAGAGUCUGAACCAGCCAAGUAGCGUGAAGGAUGACUGCCCUAUGGGUUGUAAACUUCUUUUAUAUGGGACUAAAAUGUUCCACGUGUGGGCUUUUGUAUGUACCAUAUGAAUAAGGAUCGGCUAACUCCGUGCCAGCAGCCGCGGUAAUACGGAGGAUCCGAGCGUUAUCCGGAUUUAUUGGGUUUAAAGGGAGCGUAGGUGGAUUGUUAAGUCAGUUGUGAAAGUUUGCGGCUCAACCGUAAAAUUGCAGUUGAAACUGGCAGUCUUGAGUACAGUAGAGGUGGGCGGAAUUCGUGGUGUAGCGGUGAAAUGCUUAGAUAUCACGAAGAACUCCGAUUGCGAAGGCAGCUCACUGGACUGCAACUGACACUGAGGCUCGAAAGUGUGGGUAUCAAACAGGAUUAGAUACCCUAGUAGUC